rnacentral:rRNA from 1 species
UACGUAGGUGGCAAGCGUUGUCCGGAUUUAUUGGGUUUAAAGGGUGCGUAGGCGGUUCUCUAAGUCAGUUGUGAAAUACUUCAGCUUAACUGGAGAGGUGCAAUUGAUACUGGAGAACUUGGAGUACUGAUGAGGUAGGCGGAAUGGACGGUGUAGCGGUGAAAUGCUUAGAUAUCGUCCAGAACACCGAUAGCGAAGGCAGCUUACUAAGGAGUAACUGACGCUGAGGCACGAAAGUGUGGGGAUCAAACAGG